rnacentral:tRNA from 1 species
UCCCCGAUAGCUCAGUUGGUAAAGAAUCUGCCUGCAAUGCAGGAGACCCUGGUUCAAUUCCUGGGUCAGGAA